GGAACCACUGCCUCCCCUGAAGUGCAAGCUGGGAGCGUAGUAAGAAUUUUGCUUAUACAUAUUAAAGGAAAAUGCUUUGACAUGUGGAAACAGCCAGGAGCAGCUAUCAAAGCAGCUGCACUAUCUGGAAAAAGGACAUGGCCACUUUAAUCAUCCAAAGACACAUGGGUCCUUGCAUGUUCCUAUGCAUUGUGAAGCACCAUGUCUGAAGAAUAUGCACAGCCUUAUAUAAAUCCCACGGAUGACUUUACUUAGAGGCUUUAUGUAGACACAGGAUUGGGGACAGCAUUGAGGAUACCCAUCAAGCAAGAACUACAGGCUAGACUUCUCUCCCUCCAGCACUGCCAACACUGACCAGAAUCAGCCCCAAAGGAAGAAGACAGAACUAGCACAGAACAGCUCUGCCCAUUCCUAACACUCAGAUCAAAUCCAGAAAGAUGUCACGAUUGAAGGCAUGGAGGCCACUGAGAGAUCAGGAAAAGCAAGGCUAAACACAUUAUUCUUAGCCCACUCCUGGGAUAAGAGGAUCCCACAGGUCACCCAUAAGCACAAGCGCUGCUGUUUCAAUCCCGAAUCCCAACUGAAAGGAGUCCAGAUAAUCUACUUCCUCCAGCAUUCUCUGGAGCUGCCAUCUUCUCAAUAAUCAUCAAAGUUGGGCAAAAAACCCUGGACAACCAUUGUCCAGCAUGAUUUGGAUUUUUAAGCCAAGAACGGCGACAAUACAGCAAUCUGUGCUACAAGCCCUACCAUUGCUUGUAGACAUUCCUAACUGAUAGAUCACUUUUUCAAAAAGAAAAACUAUAGCAAAUUGCUUUUACAUCCUUGGGUGUCAUUCUUAAAGCAACUGAUUCACGGAAGGAGAAUGGUAUUUUUGUGUCCAGUUUCAAGAUACAAAAACAGCUGAACUGAGCCUUUCUCUUCGAAGGUUUUAAUAUUAUAUAUCUAUUGUCAAUAUAUGUUCACAGAUAAUGCUUCCAGUGCAAAUAUUUUUGUUCAUACAUUUCUAUGAAAGCCACUUGCGGGAAUCCAUUUGGGUUUGCUUUUAUUUCAUUUCCUCGGUUUACUGUCUAAUCACUGCAGUUUAUUUUAAGGUAAAUGUUUAACAAAUUGAAUCCAAUUCUCAGAAAACCAAAUCUGGACCUAUCCAUUUCUGCAUAAUCCACCCUUAUCCUCUGCUAUAGAGACACACUUGGAAUGUCCAGAGGUCGUAUCAUCAUCUCAAGUGGCAAACUCAGUGCAUAAAGCUGGUAAGAUUUCUCCCUCCUUAAAUAGUGUCAUGGAAUGAACAUAAAGGAGAAGGAACACAUUAUCUUAUACAGGCAGUUCUUACUUAACGAUGGUAGCCCUGUCACUAAGCAGCAUGGUUAUAAAUGUGAUGUCAUGUGAUCACACUGACUUAACGAUGGUGGCUAUCACAGUCCCAGUUGCCGUUGUUAGGCAGUUCCAGGAAGUUGUAGCAUUCACAGUCAUAUCAUCACUAUUAGCAAUGUCCUAUCAUUGACUUUGUGUGAAGAAGCUAGCAAUGAAGGUUGCAAAUGGCAAUGACAUGACCGUAUCAUGCUGCAACAUUGUAAUUAAAUUUUCUUUAAUGAUACAAUAAAUAAAAAUCAAGGAACCCAUAUAUUCCAAGGGAACUCAAAACCAUAGAUUUUGGACAUCUCCAGAAAUGCAAUUCUAAAGAUACUUGAUUUUGGAGUUUAAAUUUAAAUUGCAGGCAUGGUAGUUUUAUUCUGCCUCUGCACAGCAGGAGAAUUUAUGUUAAUGAUUUGAGGGACUACAGACACAGAAAUGAGUUAAAACUUGGACCUUGAAAUUAAUGCUCUUCCACAGAAGUAAUUAGAGCUUCCUGUAAUUGGAUCAUACUUUUUGCCAUGAGUGUUUCCUGUUAUUAUAUUAUGUAUUAUUGUACACUGUAUUCAUUUUAUGUAUAUUAUAAAUCAUUAUAUAUUAUUUCUAUCCCACCAUUCCAUCCAGAGGAAAUUCAUAAGGGAUAACAAUUUCAGAAAAGCAUAAAUUGUUGAAACUGAUUAAAACAGUUAAAAUCAAUUAUACACAAACUCAAGCAGGAAAACCCUGGUUGGAGAGGUUCCACAACAUAAUUAUAUGCUUCUUACAUCAUGCACCAGUUAACAGCAUUUUGUACCAACUACCCACAGUUUCACUAUGUGCAAAACGCACUGCAGACGUCUAGGUGGGAAAUAAUCAAUUGCCAAGUCCAGCACUAUCUGAUUGACUUAGAAACAGUCCCGGUUAGUGCACAUCUUGCUCUCAUAUAGGAAUCUAAAAAACAACAACAACUAAAGAGCUUAAUGAGUACUUUACAACCCGAGACCUAAAGUUACAGGAAGUAGACCAGCUCCUUUACAAUAAGCUGAAUCCUACUCCUAUAGUCUAUUUUUCUACUGAUUUUCAGCAUUUCUCAGUUUUUGGUUUGGGAUUUUAUUUGAACUUGUCGACCUUGAUACAGCCAAUUUCUGAACUUAGAUAUCAAUCCUCAAACUCCAUUGCUUUCAAAUUAGAAGGUAAGGAAGAGUAGAAUUGGGUGUCAUCAGCAUGCUAGAACUACAACUAGACAAUAUGGAAAGAUUUUGCCCAUAGUUUCAAAGUAGAAAUUGUUUAGGGGACCAUCUGGAGCAGUGGUGGGUUACCCCCCGGUUCAGUCCAGUUCUAUAGAACCAGUAGUAAAACUGGCUGGAGGCUCCGUCUACCCACCACCACGUCAUCACCGGUGAUCUGUGCAUGCGCAGAAGCUUCUGGGCAUGUGCAGAAGAGCGUGCACGAGAGCAAAGCAAGCUCUCAUUGCAAACCGGUAGUAAAGGUAAGUAGAACCCACCCCUGAUCUGGAGUCAUACAAGGCAUCACAAAUACAAAGGCCUAGGAACUGUAUAGGAAUUUCAUGACAUGGAUCAACAAAAAGAACCAGAACCAUUUGCAAAAUAGUCUUGUCUUGGUGAGGCUUAGUCUCACCAGAUAAUAUAAAUAGAAUUGAAAUCCAAGAAAAAGUCCAAGAACACUGGCCAUGCUUCCACAUAGGGCAUAGUACCUUGAGAAUGGCCAAAGUCUCCAAACACAGUUGAAAGCCCAGUUGAAAUGUGUUCAAAUAAGCAGUGUCCAAGCCCACUGUGUCCUGUCAGCAUAGCCAAUGACAGUUUUUCAGCUCUUCUCAAUCAAAUGAAGGCUUUUUAACAAUAAUCAAUAUAUAAUUAAUAAUAUAAUAAUAUUUAAUGUAUUAAUAUUUAAUGUAAUUAAUGUAUAAUUACAUUAAAUUAUAAUGUAAUAUAUAUUACAUUAUAAUAUAACUCCACCGCCUUCGACAUGACCUGAGUUUAACUCAUAGAAUCAUCUAUUACAAUGUCCUUCCAGUCAAAGACUACUUCAGCUUCAAUUGCAACAAUUCACGAGCACACAAUAGAUUUAAGCUUAAUGUUAACGGCUCCAAUCUUGA